CAUGUCCUUUUGAAUAUAAUUUAAGGUCUAACCUGCCCAGUGAUGAUUUAUUUUAAAUGGCCGCGGUAUUUUGACCGUGCGAAGGUAGCGUGAUCAUUAGCUUUUUGAUUGAAGGCUGGAAUGAACGGUUGGACGAGAAAAUUACUGUCUCUUAAUUGAUUUAAUUAAAAUUUAAUUUUUGAGUAAAAAAGCUCAAAUUUUAUUAAAAGACGAGAAGACCCUAUAGAGUUUAAUAUUUGAUAAUUUAGAAUAUUUUUAGAAAUUUAUUUAUUUUAUUUUUUUGAGUAUUUAGUUGGGGUGACUAAAAGAUUUAAUAAACUCUUUUUUAUUAAAAUAUAUAUUUAUAGAAAUUUGAUCCGUUGUUUACGAUUAAAAGAUUAAAUUACCUUAGGGAUAACAGCGUUAUUUUUUUAGAGAGUUCAAAUCGAUAAAAAAUAUUGCGACCUCGAUGUUGGAUUAAAGUUUAUUUUGGGAGCAAAAGCUUGAAUAUUGGGUCUGUUCGACCUUUAAAACUUUACAUGAUCUGAGU
rnacentral:rRNA from 1 species